GACGAACGCUGGCGGCGCGCCUAACACAUGCAAGUCGAACGGAGUCAAGAGGAGCUUGCUUUUCUUGACUUAGUGGCGAACGGGUGAGUAACGCGUGAGUAACCUGCCCUGGAGUGGGGGACAACAGUUGGAAACGACUGCUAAUACCGCAUAAGCCCACGGAUCUGCAUGGAUCUGCGGGAAAAGGAUUUAUUCGCUCUAGGAUGGACUCGCGUCCAAUUAGCUAGUUGGUGAGGUAACGGCCCACCAAGGCGACGAUUGGUAGCCGGACUGAGAGGUUGAACGGCCACAUUGGGACUGAGACACGGCCCAGACUCCUACGGGAGGCAGCAGUGGGGGAUAUUGCACAAUGGGGGAAACCCUGAUGCAGCGACGCCGCGUGGAGGAAGAAGGUUUUCGGAUUAUAAACUCCUGUCGUGAGGGACGAUAAUGACGGUACCUAACAAGAAAGCACCAGCUAACUACGUG
rnacentral:rRNA from 1 species